rnacentral:lncRNA from 1 species
GGGCUAGGGGGAGGCGGCUCUGGACUACCAGGCACUGCACAGCUGUAUCCCAGGCUGGGUGACCCUGAGCCCUUUCUGGGUCCCACACUGUCACACGGCCUGGGUGGAGAGGUGGUUACACAGCAGGGCGACAGACCUGUGAUUUGGCAAAGCCCUGCCUGUGGGUCUCAGCUCUGAUCCCUGCCGGACGAGACCUUGGGCAGCGGGCACAGCUCUCCAGGCCUCAGCGCUUCCGCCUCUACUGGGCAGUCUGGGCCCUCUCUCACCGCAGCUGCCCCCAGGUUGGAGUGGGGGAGCAGCUGGCUCCUACCAGCUGUGGUGGCCACAGGCCCUCUCCCAGCCCUGCCUGGGGGGACCCUCGCCUUGGCAUCUCCAAGCUGGCCACGAUGGGAUGUUUACAGCACAGGGCAGGGCACGGUCACUGCUGUGCUCUGCCAGCCGCCUCUCCAGCCCGUCCCUGUCCCCACACCUGGGCUGCAGUGAGGAUCAUGAAGGGUGGCAACUGGGCUCCAUGCUCCUGCACUCCAGGCGGGCUUCGGCAGACAUUCGAGGGGAAGCCCUGAGACAGGGUGUCCUCACCAGGAAAUGCACUAAAAAAAAAAAAAAACUCCCUGGGGUCUUCAGACACAGCGACCCUGUGACUUGGGCUCUGGGCCGAGCUUUGCACCUGUGAGCGGCGCUUCCUCCUGCAGACUCCGCCCUGCAGGAAGCAGCAGCAGGAGCAGGCAGCGGAUCUCAGCUUCACACAGGGAAACGGUUUGCAGGUUUGCACUGCGACACAGCCACCGGGUGGGUGACUGACGGACAGCAGAACACAGACCCCAGAUCGCCCAUCCCGAAGACACCCAAGCCCCGUAAAUACAUCAGGCUCCGGUCAUAAGGAGCCCCCCUCCCUUGAGGGCCCACACUCUAUUUCUUUGAGCGUGUACUUUACAUUUCUGCCUAAUAAAUCCCUUUAUGCUGCUUACUGAUGCUUCUGAAAAUUCCUUUUUUGCAACAAGUCAGUGAACCUGCAACUUAAUUUUGUGAGUAGAAUGGGUUAAAGAACCCCCAGGACCCUGUCCAGUGACACUCAUCCCACUGCCCAGUGCUCCCAGAUCCCACUCAGUGGGUUCACAGCUGUCAGGACCAGCAGUCUAUCUUGGGGGACCC